UACGAAGGGUGCAAGCGUUGUUCGGAAUUACUGGGCGUAAAGCGCACGUAGGCGGUUCGUUAAGUCGGAUGUGAAAGCCCUCGGCUCAACUGAGGAAGUGCACCCGAAACUGGCGAGCUUGAGUACGAAAGAGGAUCGCGGAAUUCCCGGUGUAGAGGUGAAAUUCGUAGAUAUCGGGAGGAGCACCGGUGGCGAAGGCGGCGAUCUGGGUCGAUACUGACGCUGAGGUGCGAAAGCGUGGGGAGCAAACAGG
rnacentral:rRNA from 1 species